ensembl:snRNA U6 U6 spliceosomal RNA
AUACUCAUUUUGGCUGCACAUACACUAAAAUCAGAAUGAUACAGAGAAGACGGGCAUGACUCCUGUGCAAGGAUGACAUACAGCUUCAUAACACAUUCCAUAGUUUU